CCAUCAUGACGAAGUUUUGUUUUCAAUAUAUGUUUUUUCUGGCAUCUCUAAUGUUAGAGCUUUUCAGCUCAAUGAAUACAACCCUUGACACCUAUCUGAUG
rnacentral:snoRNA from 1 species